UAUAAUAUGCAGCAAUUGUCAUGUCUAUUUUAUUAUAUUAUUUCGUGUACCUAUAUAUUAAAAGCUAUCGGUAAUAUUUCGAGACGAAAUUGUUUAUAUACUCUAGGAACAAGGUAAUAUUGUUAUGAUUGGACAACUUACUAAUAAAGGUAUGUCAUGCAGUUGAUUGGAAAAACAAAACCUCCGCAGUUGCCAAUGACUGCCGCAGAAACGGAGACAUGACGCAUCGCUUUCGACCAAAAUGUCAGCAGUGGCGAUUUUUAGACGUAGGAGAAAGGAGUUGCUAGAAGCGGGGAAGAUUACCUCGGACAACACGUUUUGUGGCAGUGCAUUUUAAUAAUUAAUUUAAUUUUUAUAAUAGGUACUUAUAAUAUACUAUAUUUUAUUUUUAUAAUGCUAACUCAUCAUCAUAAGUAUAUAGCUUAUAAACAUUAAGAGUAAAUAUAGACUAUAUAGCUUGCUUUAUAUUAUACCUAUACAAAGGGGAGAAUGUAUAAUAUGUAUGCGAAAUAAAACACCUGAAAGCUUUUUACGGAGGCAUUAAAUAAAAUAAAUGUGUAACAUAA